GACGAACGCUGGCGGCGUGCUUAACACAUGCAAGUCGAACGGGAAGUCCCUGCUUUUGUGGGCUGCUCGAGUUGCGAACGGGUGAGUAACACUUGAGUAACCUGCCCUUGACUUUGGGAUAACUUCAUGAAACUUGGUCUAAUACCGGAUAGGAGCUCCUGCUUCAUGGUGGGGGUUGGAAAGUUUCGGCGGUUGGGGAUGGACUCGCGGCUUAUCAGAUUGUUGGUGAGGUAGUGUCUUACCAAGGCUUUGACGGGUAGCCGGCCUGAGAGGGUGACCGGACACAUUGGGACUGAGAUACGGCACAGACUCCUACGGGAGGCAGGAGUGGGGAAUAUUGCACAAUGGGCGGAAGCAUGAUGCAGCAACGCCGCGUGCGGGAUGAGGGCCUUCGGGUUGUAAACCGAUUUCGCCUGUGACGAAGCGUGAGUGACGGUAAUGGGUAAAGAAGCACCGGCUAACUACGUG
rnacentral:rRNA from 1 species